rnacentral:lncRNA from 1 species
CAUGUGAUAGUCAAUGACAAAUCAGAAAUAACUAACUGCCCACCUGGGCUGUCCUAAGCCAAGCUAGAGCCACCAUUGGCACUUGUGAGGCACAGGAAAUGAGGUAGGGAAUUUGCGCACUUCCUGUGGAGAGAGCUAGAUGGCAGUUCGUGUUCGAAGCUUAAAGAGUGAGGAGGCCCGCAGACAGCUUCCCUUCAGAUCGGAGUCAUCAACAACAUGCAGUGGCAUGACAAAAGUGAAGGUAUUUGGCAAUGGCCUGGGAUGCAAUGGAUGACUCCACAGUGCCUGCUUCAACCACCUUCAUGAUUGUUCUCAUCUGCCCCUUUUUCCAGGGUUUUCUUAGCAAAGAUAAUGGAAAGAUUUGCCAUUUUCUUAUCCAGCUCAUCUUACAAAUCAGGAACUGAGGCAAAGAGAGGAGGAAGCCUUGCAUGCCAAGAAGAGGAGAAUAGGAUCUUUUUUGAUACUUGAGAGGACAUCUACAUAAUUUUCAAAACAUAAAGAUCAAUUAUAAUUGACCUACACAACAAGUCAAUGUGAUAUUUGUCAAAUAUAUUUUGGAAGCAGGGGACAGACUUGGCUUUAGGCAAUGCUAUACAGAACUGUAAAGGACCUUAGAGAUCCUACCUAGUCUAACCUUCUCAUUGAAGAGUUGAGAAAAUAAGGGUUAUAAAAUUUAAGUGAACUAUCCAAAGUCACACAAAAUAGCAGAGCAAAAUUAAACCUAGAUUCUCUAGGUGACUCACAAUAUCUGGUAUGGAAACUCCAUUGGUGGAGAAGAGAAACUCUUCUUUAAUUUACUGUCUUAGAGAGUUGUCUGGGCAACUGAGUUUUGUGUACAUGGUGUGAAGAUGUAAGGGAGCUAUGCCCUAGAACUAGACUUAGUGUAUUCUCAUCAAGACAUUUUAAUGUGAAACUGACAGACAUUCACUAUAUUCCUGUCUAUACUUUGCUACAGUCAAUGAAAGCUUUAGCAGAAUCAUGAAUAUAUAAUGCUUUCAAUUAGGAAAAAAUAGCAUUGGCUUGAAAAAUAUAUAUGUACCUCAAUCUUAGCCAUGAAAAUGCUUAGUUGGCAAACAUUUGCGUUUCCUAGUUGGAAAGUGAUAUUAACGAAAUGCCGAGACAGCUGCUUACAGUAAGCACAUUUUCACCAAUCCCAAAUGAGACAUGUUCUUCCACAUCCAAACAUCCCCAGUCACAUUGUGUCACUUGACUUAGUGCAACAUAAUUUGGUGUGACUAAUAUAGCCUGAUGGGACAGCAGAAUGGGAAAAAAAAAUCACCCAGGAAAUGUUAGAAAAAAGGAUAGUAUUUUCUGAAAACAUCAAUUAAAUAAAUCUAAAUUAUAAAGGCUGUUAUUCA